AGGAAAAAAAAAAAUUUUAAAUAUGGUCUAUAUAAGGGAAUUAACGGAGAUAUUUUUAAUUCAAUUAUUAUUAUUAAUUAAGUUACUUUUUAUAUAUUACGUAUAUCUUUUAAGCUAUGUAUAUCUUUUAUAAUAUCUAUCUACACAUUAUGUAUAAUCUUAUUAAGGAUAACACGAAUCUUGUUACACUCUCGAUUGAUAUUUUAUAAAGUUUCGUUCUAUCGUAACUUGAACGAUGGUUUCAAAAAUCGAUAACCAAGAAAUUCGGGAUUCGGAGUCGUCACAGUCGGAACAUAUAUGAUUGCGGGAGGGAGGGGAAAUCUCGAUUCUCUCGUGCAAGCGAAAUUAAACGAAAUAAUUCCGCGGAAAGAGUAUUAUAUAGAGCAGAUAACCUGCAAUUUAUUUUCAUCGGCUUGCAUAGCGAUAUAUAGAUGUCGGUCUGUCGAUCAUUACGUCCAAUUUAAUCACCGAUGGCAGGUAGAUUCGUCAAUUCGCGAAAAUCGGUCGCGUGAAGAUUUUUAUACGCGCCGUUUAAACUCUCGAAUGGAAUAAAAAAAUAAAUAAAAAAAAAAAAAAAAGUUAAAAAA